UACGUAGGGCGCAAGCGUUAUCCGGAAUUAUUGGGCGUAAAGAGCUCGUAGGCGGUCUGUCACGUCGGCUGUGAAAACCCGGGGCUCAACCCCGGGCCUGCAGUCGAUACGGGCAGACUAGAGUGCGGUAGGGGAGACUGGAAUUCCUGGUGUAGCGGUGAAAUGCGCAGAUAUCAGGAGGAACACCGGUGGCGAAGGCGGGUCUCUGGGCCGAUACUGACGCUGAGGAGCGAAAGCGUGGGGAGCGAACAGG
rnacentral:rRNA from 1 species